rnacentral:rRNA from 1 species
GGCGGACGGGUUAGUAACGCGUGGGAACGUGCCCUUCUCUACGGAAUAGCCUCUGGAAACGGAGAGUAAUACCGUAUACGCCCUUUGGGGGAAAGAUUUAUCGGAGAAGGAUCGGCCCGCGUUAGAUUAGGUAGUUGGUGGGGUAACGGCCUACCAAGCCUACGAUCUAUAGCUGGUUUUAGAGGAUGAUCAGCAACACUGGGACUGAGACACGGCCCAGACUCCUACGGGAGGCAGCAGUGGGGAAUCUUAGACAAUGGGGGCAACCCUGAUCUAGCCAUGCCGCGUGAGUGAUGAAGGCCUUAGGGUCGUAAAGCUCUUUCGCCUGUGAUGAUAAUGACAGUAGCAGGUAAAGAAACCUCGGCUAACUCCGUGCCAGCAGCCGCGGUAAUACGGAGGGGGUUAGCGUUGUUCGGAAUUACUGGGCGUAAAGCGCGC